rnacentral:tRNA from 1 species
GCCUGGGUGGCUUAGUCAGUUAAGCGGCUGACUUCGGCUCAGGUCAUGAUCUCGCGGUCUGUGAGUUCGAGCCCCGCAUCGGGCU